GGCGAACCGAGCGAACGUUGUUCGGAAUCACUGGGCUUAAAGGGCGCGUAGGCGGAUUCUCAAGUCCGGGGUGAAAUCCCACAGCUCAACUGUGGAACUGCCUCGGAUACUGCGAGUCUCGAGGGUGGCAGGGGUAUGCGGAACUAUCGGUGGAGCGGUGAAAUGCGUUGAUAUCGAUAGGAACUCCGGUGGCGAAGGCGGCAUACUGGUCCACUUCUGACGCUGAGGCGCGAAAGCCAGGGGAGCAAACGGG
rnacentral:rRNA from 1 species